UUAUAAAUGUGAGCACAUGGAAAGAAUUGUAAUAAUGAUAAAAUAACCCUUCAAUUCAAUGGAUGGGUCAAUUAUUAUUUUAAUUACAGUUGCUAGCAUUAUAUACAAAGAGGAAUUGCUUGUUUCUUCUUAUUCUUCAAUUUAGAAAAGAAGAAGAAAUAAAAUUGUACAGUUAUAGUAUCUUUGUAAUGCAAAAACAGAAAAAACAAAGAAAAGGGCUAAAAAUACCAUAGUCCCACUUUUGAACAUCUGUUGUUAAAAUCUUAGAAGCUUGUGGUCAGCCAGCAUUUGAAUUUUGUCUUAUGUAAUAAAAUUUAAAUGAUAAUAUUGGAGAACAGAUAAGUAUGGAAUCUUGAUAAGAAACAAAAGGCCAACAAUAAACAGAAACUAACUCUUUUCUCAUCUUUUGUUUGCCAUUCUCUUUAUUUUUCUUCUUUGAUUUCCCCCAUUAUCAACACCACUAGCUCACAAAUUUAAUGCCUUUGGGGGUCCAUAUGCAAAUCCAUUAUAGGCAGAAUCAGCAGCACAUGUUUAUUGCUCUUUACUCAAGGCAUACACAUGCAUAUGAGGGCAUUCAAUCUCAAUCCAAAAUGUCAUUUGUGUAUUGAACACAUACAGAGGUUUCCUUCUUCUUGUAUUUCUUUUUU